AAGCAAGGAGUCGGUUGUGAUAUAUGCGCUAGUGUAGACAAUUGUCUUGCUUGUCUUAUCUAUGUUUAUCUCAGGUUACGUGCACCACGUGUUUUUCGAAAACCUGAAAAAUGUAAAGGCGAUGCCGCUGUUAUGGACCUAAAGCAUUGAAGACGCUAGGGAUCACGUGAGAAAAUCACACACGAAAAAUUUUUGUAUAAGAUAAGACAAAAUGUAAUGGCGAUGCCGCUGUUCUGGACUUGAAGCAUUGAAGACGCUAGGGAUUACUUGAGAAAACCACACACGAAAAAUGUUCGCAUAAGAGACAAGUAGGGUUGUCUGAACCUAAUUGCUCUUCUAAAACUAUUAUCUGUAUUUUUUUAUUUUUACCAGUUUGAUUUUGGUUGAUUUCUAUUUUGCGAUAAACAUGUUUUCUUGGAUUGAAGGAAAACAACAAGAAGAAAAAUGAAAAUAAUGUAUCAAUGCAAAUUGCUAUACCUAACUGUAUUUCUACACGAUAGAAUAGCCUAUCAAUGUAAAACUAUUAAUUGUAUUUUGUUGUUUAAUGUAAUGUGUAAAUGUAAAUGUUGUUGUUAAAAUUUGUAAUUGCUUAUAGAAUUUUCGUUAAGAGCAUAUUGCAAAACACUUUCAUUGGGAUUAAAAAUUGUUAAUGAUGGAUCGAGAACAAAAUGAAAAGGCAAAAGCCACAGAGCGAGAACAUGUAAGGAAUAUAAAAUAAUAAGUCUGCAGUUUUUUAGAUAAAGUUUUGCGUUUUAGCUCACAAUCACACAAACUUAUUAAAGUUAGUAUUUAAUUUAUUUAUUAUCCAUUUAAUUCGUUCAAGUUUAGUUGUAAGUAACUUUUGUUGUUGAAAAAUUACAAUAACAGUAAAUACUUGAUAAAGAUGAAAUAAAGGAUCGUUUUUCUUUCGUUA